UACGUAGGGGGCAAGCGUUGUCCGGAAUCAUUGGGCGUAAAGAGCGUGUAGGCGGCCAGAAAAGUCCGCUGUGAAAACUCGAGGCUCAACUUCGAGCUGUCGGUGGAAACUUUCUGGCUAGAGUCCGGAAGAGGAGAAUGGAAUUCCCGGUGUAGCGGUGAAAUGCGCAGAUAUCGGGAAGAACACCUAUGGCGAAGGCAGCUCUCUGGGACGGUACUGACGCUGAGACGCGAAAGCGUGGGGAGCGAACAGG
rnacentral:rRNA from 1 species